AGCGAACGCUGGCGGCAGGACUAACACAUGCAAGUCGAACGAACUCUUCGGAGUUAGUGGCGGACGGGUGAGUAACACGUGGGAACGUGCCUUUAGGUUCGGAAUAACUCAGGGAAACUUGUGCUAAUACCGAAUGUGCCCUUCGGGGGAAAGAUCUAUCGCCUUUAGAGCGGCCCGCGUCUGAUUAGCCAGUUGGUGGGGUAAUGGCUCACCAAGGCUACGAUCAGUAGCUGGUCUGAGAGGAUGACCAGCCACAUUGGGACUGAGACACGGCCCAAACUCCUACGGGAGGCAGCAGUGGGGAAUCUUGCGCAAUGGGCGAAAGCCUGACGCAGCCAUGCCGCGUGGAUGAUGAAGGUCUUAGGAUUGUAAAAUCCUCUCACCGGUGAAGAUAAUGACUGUAGCCGGAGAAGAAGCCCCGGCUAACUUCGUGCCAGCCGCCGCAGUAA
rnacentral:rRNA from 1 species